UCUCUGGUGGCCUAGUGGUUAGAGCAUCCGCAUCAUAUGCGGGAGGUCGUGGGUUCGAUAUACCGUCGAGUCAU